CCAGCGGAUGGAAACUCCGAAAUUCCACCGUAAAAACGAGGAGCGGGGAGAAAAAAACCCUCAAUAAAAAAGAAGCCAGCCCAGGUGUGAGGUGUUUAGCCGGGCUGGUCGGUGUUUUUGGCCGCUUUGUCGCGGAGCUCCGCGGGCCGGGCGGGCUGCGCUGCCCCGGGCCCGGCGGGGGAGGACCCGGGCGCGGCAGCGCGGCCGCUCCGGCCUUUCCUCGGGGAGCCUCAUGGGAGGAGCCUGCCAGCAGCAGCAGCUCCAGCGGCAGCAGCUCCGGGCUCGCAUUGCUCGGCCUUUGUGGGCUCCCGGAGCAGCGGAGGCAGCGGGGCUCGGCGGUGGCCGGCCGCGAUGCGGGGAGCGCGGGGCGGCGGUGGCCGUGUGAGGGGCUGCGCCGGGGGGCUGCGCGCACGGCGAGGAUGACCGCGGGCAGGAGCGCUGCUGCUUGUUUCCUGGCGUUGCCCUCCUGGACCAGGUGA
rnacentral:lncRNA from 14 species